rnacentral:tRNA from 1 species
GCGCCCAUAGCUCAACAGGAUAGAGCAACGGACUUCUAAUCCGUAGGUUUGAGGUUCGAGUCCUCAUGGGCGCG